UACAGAGGGUGCGAGCGUUGUCCGGAAUCACUGGGCGUAAAGGGCGCGUAGGCGGCUUGAUAAGGUUGCGGUGAAAGCCCGGGGCUCAACCCCGGGUCGGCCGUGGCAACUGUCGAGCUGGAGCACUGUAGAGGCAGGUGGAAUUCCGGGUGUAGCGGUGGAAUGCGUAGAGAUCCGGAAGAACACCGGUGGCGAAGGCGGCCUGC
rnacentral:rRNA from 1 species